CCCCAGGACACAAUGGACUUCUAGGAAAUACAAGCCUUAGAGGAGUGGUACUCAAACCUGAGAUUGCUGCAGAAUCCCCUGGAGGGGCUUGGUUGAAUCUGUACUGAGCCACUCCCCCAGAGGUUCUGACUCAGCUUUGAAGCAGAAGCUUUAAGAUGUAGGGCAUGGUCCCACUCUUGCUCCUUUUCUUCUGAUCUGACACCAGUAAUGUCUCAGAGACGGUCUAUUCCUUCAGCCUGCAUCCUGGACAGAAGAACCAGAGCUGAUCUCCGAUGGACUUGAAAUUAAAGUACACAAAAGCUAAUCACAAAAGAGAGAGAACAGCAUAUUCAUGAAAAUGAUUGACUACGGAAUC